rnacentral:siRNA from 1 species
UCAAGUAUUCCAGAUGGUA